CGAUGCCAGAGCUAACUGAUGGGUGCACAUGGUUCCUUCGUAUGUUCUUUCUUUGAAAAAAUAAACGUGUUUCGAUGCCAGAGCUAACUGAUGGGUGUACAUGGUUCCUUCGUGUGUUCUUCCUUUGAAAAAAAUAAACGUGUUUCGAUGCCAGAGCUAACUGAUUGGUGCACAUGGUUCCUUCGUAUGUUCUUCCUUUGAAGAAA